GUUGUCCCACACUAUAUAAAGCAACCGACAGCGCAUUAUCAAUCUCUUCAAUUCCAGCUAAGUAACAGCGGUGGUCCAUUAUCUUCUGAACAAACCCUAGACGUGGAUGAUGGUCAAAUGGUUAUGCAGAAGGAUUACAAUUUCAAUCUGCGGGGACUUCAAAGACCUGGAUGAGAAUGAAGUAGUGGACAUUCUGAUGGGAGGUGUACAACCGUUGCACAGACCAGUGGGAUUGAAAAUUAACCAGUGGACAUUCUAAAGUUAUUGUGCCUAUUGGAGGUGUGAUGGCCCCAUCAGUGUGGGAUUGAAUGGCUGGUAUGGAGGUACAGGUGUGCCUCAACACUGCUUGGACAUGCACCAAUCUGGGUUUUGAUGGGUGUAGGGGUCACUAGUUCUUGCAACUGGCUCUGGGUGACGUGACCGGCACUGACACACUACACUUCCAUGGUUAUAUGGCCCUAUUCCAGGGUUUUAAGGUCUUGGUACACCAACCAAGUUGGAUGAGGCCCCAUCUGUACACCAAGGUGUUUCCCUGGCUUGUCACUGCUUAUCGGUUGCAUCGGGACAUUGUUAGGAGACCUGUUCAGAAUGUGUGAAAUCGUUGGUUGACUAACUGUUCAAUUGUGUGGGACUUUGUCUCAACCUGCAACCAACCUGCUGUGCAUUUCAUCAAUAAAUAUAACAAUCAGUUAGUCAACUAAUUAGAUUCCAGCUUAACUUAGACCUGGAGGUCUGUUGACAAAUUGCACAUAAAUGCUAAAACAUCUAUCGUAGCUUUGUGAAACUUCCGCAUGAAUGUUUUUUGUCCUGACAAAACUGGGGGACUCCUUGAAGUUGAACUUAACAGGUACAUUCUGUCAUUCAGGGCAAAGCCCCACUUUUGUGAAAUAAUUUGCCAUUAAAAUCUAUUUUCAAACAAUGUAAAGAAAGCUACAACCA